UAAGGCUCUACUGAACUUUUGGACUAUUAUUGACAUUUUUCUAAGUAAGCAUAAAAAUGACAUUUUCGCAAAAUUAGGCAAGAUAUGGAGUUUUACAUGAGCGGAUUUUGAUGGGUACCUUGCUACAAAAUAUGAAGCCGGAGACGGAGGUGACAACUGGGUUGAGUUGUGGCUACGAUGACUUUUGACUUGUCGCUGCGAUGAGGCUUAAGAUCUGCAAUGGAGGUUGGUCUGAGGUUUCAAAUCUAAGGAUGGUCCGGUUGCGGAAGGACGUCAAGCUUCCCCUUCCGAUCGGUAAUCUCUGGGAAAUGAAGAUAUGAACCCGACGAGAUGGCGGUUGGAGGCUCAACGACAAGGUUCUUGGUUUCUUCUAGGUGCGACGACACCAGAUCUACACUAGGUGACAAGGCCUUCAAUCUGACGUGGGGCGAUGGACGAGGCUUCAGAUCUAGCAUCCAUGAGUUCGGUCGACUUCGAUUUGCAGAUUUGGGUUGGAGGAGGCGAGGUGUUUUACUCAAGCUUCUGGGUUUCAAGGGUUUCCUAUGUUCUUGCAAGAUUAAAGAGCUUUUGAUGUCAUGGUAUGAGAUCCAAUUUCUAGUUUGAAAUGUGGGUUUGUUGGAUUUUUUUAGGGGAAUAUUCUGAUCUAAUUUCAUGGUUUAUUAAGCAAUUUUUUGUUUCAUUUUUUGUAUUUAUGAAUAAAUUUGGGUUCAUGAGAUUUUGAACAUUGAUUUUUAUUUUAGGUUUGGUUAUUUUAGAUCUAAGAUGAGAUAUUGACUUAGUGAUGAUGACCAUUUUUUCUUCUUCUUUGAAUCUAGGUUUGAGAUGAAAUCAAUAACACAUUUUAGUUUUUUGAUUUAGCUUUUUCUUUGAAGCUGGGUUUGAGAUGAAAUAAAGAACACACUUUAGUUUUUUUAUAUACAUUUUUUCUUUGAA